rnacentral:rRNA from 1 species
GACGAACGCUGGCGGCGUGCUUAACACAUGCAAGUCGAGCGGAAAGGCCCUUCGGGGUACUCGAGCGGCGAACGGGUGAGUAGCACGUGAGUAACCUGCCCCAGACUUUGGGAUAACCCUCGGAAACGGGGGCUAAUACCGGAUACGACACAGCUUCGCAUGGGGUCUGUGUGGAAAGUUUUUCGGUUUGGGAUGGGCUCGCGGCCUAUCAGCUUGUUGGUGGGGUGAUGGCCUACCAAGGCGACGACGGGUAGCCGGCCUGAGAGGGCGACCGGCCACACUGGGACUGAGACACGGCCCAGACUCCUACGGGAGGCAGCAGUGGGGAAUAUUGCACAAUGGGCGGAAGCCUGAUGCAGCGACGCCGCGUGAGGGAUGACGGCCUUCGGGUUGUAAACCUCUUUCAGCAGGGACGAAGCGUAAGUGACGGUACCUGCAGAAGAAGCGCCGGCCAACUACGUG